UCAAGUGACUAAGUGCAUGUGGCGGAUGCCUUGGCGAUCACAGGCGAAGAAAGACGCGGCAGCCUGCGAAAAGCUGCGGGGAGCUGGCAAACGAGCUUUGAUCCGCAGAUAUCUGAAUGGGGGAACCCACACCGCAAGGUGUAUCCGUGACUGAAUACAUAGGUUACGGAGGCGAACGAGGAGAACUGAAACAUCUAAGUAUCCUCAGGAAAAGAAAUCAACCGAGAUUCCGGCAGUAGCGGCGAGCGAACCCGGAGGAGCCUAGCUUUUGAUAGUACGAACUUUAGCCGAAAGGUCCUGGAAAGGCCUGCUAUAGUGGGUGAUAGCCCCGUAGGCGAAAGAGUUGGUACGGUACUAAGGAAGCGAGAAGUAGAGCGGGACACGUGGAAUCCUGUUCGAAGACGGGGGGACCAUCCUCCAAGGCUAAAUACUCGUGAUCGACCGAUAGUGAACCAGUACCGUGAGGGAAAGGCGAAAAGAACCCCGGGAGGGGAGUGAAAUAGAACCUGAAACCGCAUGCAUACAAACAGUAGGAGCCUCACCAGAGGUGACUGCGUACCUUUUGCAUAAUGGGUCAGCGACUUACAUUCUGUGGCGAGCUUAACCGAAUAGGGGAGGCGCAGCGAAAGCGAGUUCGAAAUGAGCGUCCAGUCGCAGGGUGUAGACCCGAAACCAGAUGAGCUAUCCAUGGCCAGGUUGAAGGUGUGGUAACACACACUGGAGGACCGAACCGACUAGUGUUGCAAAAUUAGCGGAUGAGCUGUGGAUAGGGGUGAAAGGCCAAACAAAUCUGGAGAUAGCUGGUUCUCCCCGAAAACUAUUGAGGUAGUGCCUCGUGUGUCGCUCCAGGGGGUAGAGCACUGUUUUGGCUAGGGGGACAUGGAGUCUUACCAAACCAAGGCAAACUCCGAAUACCUGGAAGCGUAAGCACGGGAGACAGAGCACCGGGUGCUAACGUCCGGACUCAAAAGGGAAACAACCCAGACCGCCGGCUAAGGUCCCCAAUAACAGCUAAGUGGAAAACGAAGUGGAAAGGCCGUGACAACCAGGAAGUUGGCUUAGAAGCAGCCAUCCUUCAAAGAAAGCGUAAUAGCUCACUGGUCGAGUCCUUCUGCGCGGAAGAUGUAACGGGGCUAAGCUGUUAACCGAAGCCGCGGAUGCACUGAUUAUUCAGUGCGUGGUAGGGGAGCGUUCUGUAAGUCUGCGAAGGCGGUUCGAGAGGACUGCUGGAGAUAUCAGAAGUGCGAAUGCUGACAUGAGUAACGUUAAAGCAGGUGAAAAGCCUGCUCGCCGUAAGCCCAAGGAUUCCUGCUCUACGUUCAUCGGAGCAGGGUGAGUCGGCUCCUAAGGUCAGGCCGAAAGGCGUAGCCGAUGGGAAUCAGGUUAAUAUUCCUGAACCUGCGUCAGAUGCGAUGGGGGGACGGAGCAUGAAAGAUCAUCCGGGUGUUGGAUGUCCCGGUUGACGAGCGUAGGAGGUCUGCAGGCAAAUCCGCAGACGCAUCUCCAAGGCGAAGUCACGUGCCGCCACGGCGGCGAAGUGAUCGGAAGUGCUUCCAAGAAAAGCCUCUAAGCACCAGUCUGACGCGGACCGUACCGCAAACCGACACUGGUGGGCGAGCUGAAUAUGCUCAGGCGCUUGAGAGAACUCGGGAGAAGGAACUCGGCAAAUUGACACCGUAACUUCGGAAGAAGGUGUGCCGUAGUACCGUGAGAGGAGAGACACCUUGAGCGGGAAUCGGUCUCAGAGAAUAGGUGGCUGCGACUGUUUAUUAAAAACACAGCACUCUGCAAAGUCGAAAGACGACGUAUAGGGUGUGAUGCCUGCCCGGUGCUGGAAGAUUAAUUGAUGGGGUGAGAGCCCUUGAUCGAAGUCCCAGUAAACGGCGGCCGUAACUAUAACGGUCCUAAGGUAGCGAAAUUCCUUGUC
rnacentral:rRNA from 1 species